CAACAGGGAUUACCUCAGUAACGGCGAGUGAAGCGGUAACAGCUCAAAUUUGAAAUCUGGCUCUUUCAGGGUCCGAGUUGUAAUUUGUAGAAGAUGCUUUGGGUGUGGCCCUGGUCUAAGUUCCUUGGAACAGGACGUCAUAGAGGGUGAGAAUCCCGUAUGUGACUAGGUGCUUUCGCCCGUGUAAAGCUCUUUCGACGAGUCGAGUUGUUUGGGAAUGCAGCUCAAAAUGGGUGGUAAAUUUCAUCUAAAGCUAAAUAUUGGCCAGAGACCGAUAGCGCACAAGUAGAGUGAUCGAAAGAUGAAAAGCACUUUGGAAAGAGAGUUAAACAGUACGUGAAAUUGUUGAAAGGGAAGCGCUUGCAACCAGACUUGGUUGCGGCCGAUCAUCUAGGGUUCUCCCUGGUGCACUCGGUCGUAACUAGGCCAGCAUCGGUUUGGGUGGUGGGAUAAAGGCCUUGGGAAUGUAGCUUCUUUCGGGGAGUGUUAUAGCCCUCGGUGCAAUGCCGCCUACCUGGACCGAGGACCGCGCUUCGGCUAGGAUGCUGGCGUAAUGGUUGUAAGCGACCCGUCUUGAAACACGGACCAAGGAGUCUAACAUCUAUGCGAGUAUUUGGGUGUUAAACCCAUAUGCGUAAUGAAAGUGAACGGAGGUGAGAACCCUUAAGGGUGCAUCAUCGACCGAUCCUGAUGUCUUCGGAUGGAUUUGAGUAAGAGCAUAGCUGUUGGGACCCGAAAGAUGGUGAACUAUGCCUAAAUAGGGUGAAGCCAGAGGAAACUCUGGUGGAGGCUCGCAGCGGUUCUGACGUGCAAAUCGAUCGUCAAAUUUGGGUAUAGGGGCGAAAGACUAAUCGAACCAUCUAGUAGCUGGUUCCUGCGACU
rnacentral:rRNA from 1 species